rnacentral:rRNA from 1 species
UUAGGAAUUUUGUGCAAUGGGGGAAACCCUGACACAGCCACGCCGCGUGCGGGAUGAAGGCCUUCGGGUCGUAAACCGCUUUUCUCGAGGAAGACACCCGACGGUACUCGAGGAAUAAGCAACGGCUAACUACGUGCCAGCAGCCGCGGUAAUACGUAGGUUGCGAGCGUUGUCCGGAUUUACUGGGCGUAAAGCGCGCGCAGGCGGAUUCGAAAGUCCACGGUGAAAGCUCCCGGCUCAACUGGGAGAGGCCCGUGGAAACUCCGGAUCUUGAAGGCAGGAGAGGCAAAUGGAAUUUCCGGUGUAGCGGUAAAAUGCGUAGAUACCGGAAGGAACACCAGUGGCGAAGGCGAUUUGCUGGCCUGUUCUUGACGCUCAGGCGCGAAAGCUAGGGGAGCGACCGG